rnacentral:tRNA from 1 species
AUUUAUAUAGUUUAAAGAAAACAUUACAUUUUCAUUGUAAAGAUAAAAUUUUUUUUAUAAAUA